UUUGUGGAGUGUUUUCUGGGAGAUGCAUUGGUGGCCUGUGUCAUAGUAAAUUUGCCAGGCACAGAGAGCCAGUGCCUUUCCCUGGGGGGAGAGAGUGAAGAGGCUCACUAGGCUGUCACAGUGGAAAACAAAACAUCUAGAAAGGCUCCACAAAGGUGGUUGGAAUCUGAGCGACUUCUCUUGGGGCAGUCUUGCAGGAUCAGUGGGAAGUUUCUGCGCUGAACAGGAUCCUUGGCAAGGAUACACUGCUGCCAGGUGAGAAGCAGAUGCCCUCAAGAGGAGACGAAGCAUCCAACAUUCUUCUUCCUGUUUGCCCCAGCCUCCAUGUCCCCAUGGAUCAGAUACCAGCACAUGGAGCCUCCAGCAAUAUCUGCAAUUUUCCACCACAUCUCAAAGCUGCCAGGCUCUUAUCCCGGACCUGCUUCACUACCCAGAUGACCUGCUUGUCUCUAACUCCUCUGGCACGGUAACUACUCCUCUUCACUCUCUUGGCACUCCACGUGGAGCCACCCUAGGACAUACUAAAGGACUUACUGGUGCAUGUAGUGCUGCCACGAUUAGGAUGCUGAAAAGUCCACCUGAUGCAGGGUAAGCCUGAUGGUACAGUAGUACUCUGGGUACUUACCCAGUGCACUGAUGAACAGGGCCUUGAGAUCCUGAAAUCUGUCGCUUAGCUGUAAGGAGCCAAACGGCUGUGCUCAAGCCAACCCUUAUAUCUGCUUUGGGGAAGGUAGCAGUGCAGGUAUACAGGAGACUUCCUCAGAGGAGGUUGAACUGCUGUUGUCUGGCUCUGAUGCUAAGGCAAAGCUGGAUGAUGCCCAUCAGUGAAUUUGGGGUGCUGGACUGGGGUGGGGUGCACAAACUCCUGGUUUUGUUUAGUCAGCACUUCCAAUCUGCAAGCAAUAGCGGUUUGUGUUCCCAUGGAAAUACAGGCCUGUUUUGGGAGUCUCUUGGGACUCCCCUCUCCUGUAUCUGUCUCCUUCUCAACCUGGUUUCUGGCCAGAUCCUUUCCUGCUUCGUCUUAGGUUCCUGCCUGCAUCCCAUAUGUAAUCAGCUGUGUUUUCCAGCUGGGUCCCUGCCAGGUAUUUACAGUUCUUCCUAAUUAUUAGGACCGUCUCCCUAGAGUUUAUCCUAUAUCUGCUCUAUGGCAAUGCAGUGUGGAGCACCCAGAGAGAAACCUGCUGCCUGUCUGCCCGGCUGUCACCAGUGCUGCUAAUCCCAGGGGGAGGUGGGAAGGCGUU